rnacentral:tRNA from 1 species
CUUCAAAUCCUUGGUUCGAUUCCAAGUACUCUUGAUGAAAACAAAAAUAAAAAUAUUUUUUAAAUUCCCA